ACGCUGGCGGCGUGCCUAAUACAUGCAAGUAGGACGCACAGUUUAUACCGUAGCUUGCUACACCAUAGACUGUGAGUUGCGAACGGGUGAGUAACGCGUAGGUAACCUGCCUAUUAGAGGGGGAUAACUAUUGGAAACGAUAGCUAAUACCGCAUAACAGUAUGUAACACAUGUUAGAUGCUUGAAAGAUGCAAUUGCAUCGCUAGUAGAUGGACCUGCGUUGUAUUAGCUAGUAGGUAGGGUAAUGGCCUACCUAGGCGACGAUACAUAGCCGACCUGAGAGGGUGAUCGGCCACACUGGGACUGAGACACGGCCCAGACUCCUACGGGAGGCAGCAGUAGGGAAUCUUCGGCAAUGGGGGGAACCCUGACCGAGCAACGCCGCGUGAGUGAAGAAGGUUUUCGGAUCGUAAAGCUCUGUUGUUAAGGAAGAACGAGUGUGAGAAUGGAAAGUUCAUACUGUGACGGUACUUAACCAGAAAGGGACGGCUAACUACGUG
rnacentral:rRNA from 1 species